rnacentral:lncRNA from 1 species
UGUUAAUCUAAAAUUAUUUCAAAAUAAAUAGAAGUGUAGACAUGGCUCAUAUAUUUGAGAUCAGGUCUCCCUGUUAACUUAAUUGAGCCUUCAUGGAACUAAAUCUCAUGGUACAAAUGCAGUAAGGUUAUAAAAUAUAAAUCAGAUGAGUUUCUAUUUUACUCUCUUCUUCAGGGAACACUAAGGCCCAUUCUUCCUCUCAAGUAUCCAGAAAUAAAGUUGCUCCAAGUAACAAGUGGACAGCAUAAAAGAUUGUAUGGAAACUAUAAUGCAUCUACAUCUGCAGUAACUAAUCAUAAAAUGAUUUGUAUGAUCAUUCUUCACAUGAUUAGAAUUACUAUGGGAAAGAAGAAAAAGAAAUGCAACUUUCUUGAUUUAAAAUUUUAUCUGUGCAAGUGUGGUGGCACACACCUGUAGUCAGUCCCAACUGCUAGGGAGGGUGGGUAGGAUGAUCAUGUGAUACCAGGAGUUUGAGGCUAUGUAGUGUACUAUGAUUGUGUUAGUGAAUAACCAGUGCAUUCCAGUCUGGGCAAUGUAGUUAAACCCCAUUAAAUAAAUAAAUAAAUAAGUUACAGAGGUCGUUGUUUAUAUUUCUAUGACUAGGGCUGAAAUCCUCUAGAUAGAGAUUUUUUUUUUUUUUUUGAGAUAGAGUGUCGCUCUGUCACCCAGGCUGGAGUGCAGUGGCGUGUCCUCAGCUCACUGCAAGCUCUGCCUCCCAGAGUCAUGCCAUUCUCCUGCCUCAGCCACCCCUGCAGGUGGGACUACAGGUGCCUGCCACCACACCCAGCUAAUUUUUUUUUCUUUUUAGUAGAGACAGGGUUUCACGGUGUUAGCCAGGAUGGUCCCAAUCUCCUGACCUCGUGAUCCGCUCACGUCUGCCUCCUAAAGUGCUGGGAUUACAGGUGUAAGCCACCACGCCCAACCUGAGAUAUUUCUUUAUCUUUGGGGAGCCACCACUCCAGUGCAAACUUUCAAAUAAUGCCUUGCCAUUUUUAGUUUCCCUCCCUAGGAUUCCUGGAACCAUAGUUCAUAAAAUUAUCUCACAGCGUGUGUUUUAUUUUUACUUCUGUUUGCUUUAAGUCCUCUCUGGAUGGUGGCUAUAACCUAUAGCCUUGCCCACUACGACUCAGGGUUUGGUACUGGCUGUGCCUUUCAUGGGAUGCUUUCUUAUCCUGGUCGAUGGCCUAAAGCCCAACUGUCCAGCUUACAUCCAGAUCCUUUGGCAUUUGAGAGUUGCUUUGUGUAUACGGCCCUUUAAUGGAGCAAAUGGCCAGCCAGGAAACCAAAGUAUGGACAAGGGGAAAGAAGCAUCUGUGGAGGAAGUUUUACAAGCGACCCUCCUCAUCCAUGUGGGUGGCGUUCCCAUAUGCUACAUGUCUGUGGGCCACUAUGUGUGUUUAAAGCUUUUUAGUAAAACGUUACUAAAAACUAUGACUCACUGUGGUGAAAAAGGUGGGAAAACAGUGACAACAGUAAGUUUGCUGCUGUUAUUAUCUAUGUGAGUGGUCACAAAAGCACAGGUAGCAGCUGAGGCAAGGGUAGGGAAGCUAGGAAAAGAAUCGCAGUGAGAAAGGGAUGAGAACUUCCAUGUCUGUGUUAAUGUCUG